GGGCAAGUGGUCUAGGGGUAUGAUUUCUCAUUCGCAUUAACUUGCGCGAAAAUCACAACGUGAAAACUUUGAGAAGGUCCGGGGUUCAAUUCCCCGCUUGUCCA